rnacentral:piRNA from 1 species
UAAUACAGAGGGAACCAGUCUAUUGUGGA